UACGUAGGGUGCUAGCGUUGUCCGGAUUUAUUGGGCGUAAAGGGCGCGCAGGCGGCCCUCAUAGUCAGGCGUGAAAGCCCCGGGCUCAACCUGGGAAUUGCGCUUGAUACUGGGGGGCUGGAGUUCGGGAGAGGAGAGUGGAAUUCCCAGUGUAGAGGUGAAAUUCGUAGAUAUUGGGAAGAACACCGGUGGCGAAGGCGGCUCUCUGGACCGAUACUGACGCUGAGGCGCGAAAGCGUGGGGAGCAAACAGGG
rnacentral:rRNA from 1 species